GUUCAAAAGAGUAGCGAUAUGGGAACUAGGAGAUUCCACGGUGCUUUUCAACAUCUAUUCGAAAAGCCACUUAGAAUCUUGCAUGAAAUAAUUAUUGACUUAUUGCUUAUAUUAUUCCGAACAGUUUAAGAAUUUGGAAAAAUAGUUGAGGAGAACACUAUUACUGAGGGAUUUUUGAAUGGUGGCUCUUCAAUAGGCAAGGCAAGAUUAUGAAUUAUUCAAGAUUAUUGAGCUUGGAUUAAGUAAUCAAUUUCAUAGCAUCAACUACAAGAAAUCAACAGGUGUAGGAGGUGUAGAUGCUAGUCAUUCAGUCCUGUAGAGGCAGGAGCACCAGCAGAGUUUAAGAAAUGGGGAUGUAAAAUCAGACUGCCCUGUACCAAGCACUUGGAGUGAUUCUUCUUCCAAAGUCUUGUUUUCUUAAACUAUGGAGUAUGUAUCCUGUCUAGUUUUACCUCUUUUCAGCUCCCCAAGAACCAAUAUCAAUUCAGACAUUAUGGCUUAGCAAAACUCUAGUGUGAUUUGUAUCAGUAUUGCCACUCCAGAUGUGAGAAAUCAUUAUUACCCUCAUGCUAAAUAGUGCCAGUUAAGAGUUAUCUACACAUCAUGGCAUGGGUCACUAUCGUGUUGAUCUUUCUGACUAUUAUCUCUUUUCCCCAAUUAGAUUCUCCUUGCCAUUGUGGCUCUAGAAAUCUCCUUGUGGAUAAUGCACCAUCUCUAGGACUGCAUCCUCUGCAGGCACUACUUGAUUCAGGAUUUUCUCUUCCUAUCAUGGUUGUGUAGUAAAAUAUGAUAUGGAAGUGAACAUUGACAUAUCACAUAUUUUUCUUUUUUCUUUUUUUUUUCUUUUCUUUUUUUCGGAGCUGGGACUGAACCCAGGGCCUUGCGCUUGCUAGGCAAGUGCUCUACCACUGAGCUAAAUCCCCAAACCCCAUAGCACAUCUUUUUAAAAAUAAUAGUCAUCAUCAAAUUAGCUAUGAGUGCAUGUCAAUGAUGUAUGUGAAAGCUCACUACAUAUGUAAGGAUCAGUUCGUUAUAUAUCUGUUUAUGUUGCUUGUUUCUAACUCCAUGGAAAGUUAUAAUAAGAAGGAAGAAUCAGUAGCUGUUGACUCUCAGAGAGACCGUCAGCCUAGUCUUCUGGAAAUCAGAUAGGAAUAUGAUGGACUCCAAAAAUACAAUAAUUGUGUGGGAAUAUCUAACCUCAUCUAUUAGCUGUAGUUCAUAAUUCUAAUGAUUUCUUUGGAUUUCUACAAAUAACUAUUUUUUAUACUGAACUAUACUUGAACUAUACUCUCAGCCACACAACUAAUAUCUUGGGGAGGGUAGAUGUUACAGCUUGUAAAAGAUUUUCCAAGCAUGGUUCCAUAACUGUUUCUGUUCCCACGAAAAAUCAGGAGACACUUAGAUGAGUAUCCAGGCUCUCACAUACAACUGUUACAUACAGCUCUGUCCUAAAUUAACAUGUCCUCAGACAGAUGAAGCAUAAUUAUAAAGACUAAUAGAGAAAAGAUACAUAUAUGUAGAUAUGUUUCUAUACAACUAUGGACCCUGAUUUUGAUACAUUUUUGUAAUGUAAAAGGGGCAUUGUGAAAGGGGUAGUGAGGGGAAAGGUAUGCCUGCAAACCUUAGAUACAUAUAUGUAGAUAUGUUACUAUAGAACUAUUGAUCCUGAUUUUGACCCAUUUCUGUAAUGUAGAAGGGGCAUUGUGAAAGGGGUAGUGAAUAGAAAGGUAUGCCUGGGAUAAGUACCUUAAAGGAAAAAAAAAGUCUGAAGAUAGUGAAGAAAAGGUGCUUUGGCAACUAGCUGAUCUUGAACCUUAUAUUUAACCCCCUUGAAAGCUUUUUUUUUUAAAUCUUUAUUAACUUGAGUAUUUCUUAUUUACAUUUCAAUUGUUAUUCCCCUUCCUGGUUUCCAGGCCAACAUCCCUAUAGCCCCUGCCCCACCCCUUCCCUAUUGGUGUUCCCCCUCCCCAUCCUCCCUCCAUUACCGCCCUCCCCUCAACAAUCAUGAUCCCUGGGGGUUCAGUCUUGGGAGGACCAAGGGCUUCCCCUUCCACUGGUGCUCUUACUAGGAUAUUCAUUGCUACCUAUGAGGUCAAAGUCCAGGGUCAGUCCAUGUAUAGUCUUUGUGUAGUGGCUUAGUCCCUGAAUGCUCUGGUUGGUUGGCAUUGUUGUCAGGGUCCGGCGGUCUCUGGCAGGGGUCCUGCCGCUCCUGGGCCCUCCCCCACGGGAGCCCAGAGGCCUUAUACAGUUUCCUCUUGGGCCAGGGAUGUGGGCAGGGGUGAGCAGUGUUGGUGGUCUCUUCCGCUCUGCAGCCUCAGGAGUGCCCACCUGACCAGGCGGUUGGGUCUCUCUCUCACAGGGUCAAGUCGGGCAUUCAGAUCUCCUCUCACAGCCGUUCUUCAACUUUUAACCUUGAUGUUCAGGACUCAUCAUGGAAAUUUGGUCUGUAACUCAAAAUGACAAUGAAAGAGAGGUGUGGGCCAAUUGCAUGAAGUCAAUUAAACAUUAUGAGAAAUAAUUUUACAACAUGUAUAUCUUAGAUUAAAUAAUAGAUAACUUCCUUCUUUACAUUCUAAUUCUCUGGUUAACAGACAAGAGGAAAUAGCAGCAGAACCAAGAGAGGAGUUGUUUCCCUGAGCUUGGUUUACCUUCCAGCUAGAUGGAGAAAUUAUUCCUGAGAUGUCUAGAUUCAGACAACUCUUGGACUGAAUUAUUCCUAAGGUUUUGAAUACAAAGUCAGCAGUGCCAGCAAAUAAAUAUAAUGUAGAAAAUGACUUGAGUGUGUAAGAAGGGAAGGUUCUGUUUCUUCGUAGAUGGCAUUUGUUGUGGACAUAGGGAUUUGACUUUUCUGGAACAAUAACAGACGCUGGUACAAGCUAAUCAUUUUUCUCCCAUAGAAAGUCAGAAAGAGAAGCAUGAAUAUGCUGGUUCAAAUGUUCUAACCACAGUGCUGAUGUGUAGAUGAAGAUCUGGGUUUUAAUUUUCUGUCAGCUUCAUCUGGGAUAAAAAAUAUGACAUCUAAGGUAGCCUGCAGUCAACAACUCCAGUGCAGAAUGGACCCUGAAGAGGAAUUCAAGCACCAACAGAGCCUAUGCAACCACAUCUUGUAUAUAAUUCAUCUGCAUGGUCACAAAUAGAAAGUGAAGAUCAACCACAAUGACUUCAAAUGGGACUCUAUUCUGCAGAUGCUUAUCUUCAGAUCUCAGCCUGGACAUGAUUUGCAAUAGUGCAGACAAAGACUAUAUUUAAACAAUUUUAGAGUUAUGGAGGUUUGCUGUGACGUAUGGAGGUUGAUAAAGCAGAACUGAGUUCCCUGACCUGGGUGAUACUUCUUUCUGAAAGAAAUUUCUAAGAAAAAAAUGGAGAAAAGAACCUGGUCACACAGGCCAGAAGACUCUGAAGGACUCCCAAGACUGCUGGUUAAUUCUAGCCUGAUUCUCAGCAAAGUCACAAUAUUCAGACUUCCAAUUAAGAAACAUGGGUGGUUUUAACACCACCUUCUGAAGAUUAUACCUAUAUAACAUGUCUGCAGAGACCUCAGAAAGAUAAACAUGAAUAUGCUGCCUCAAAUCUUUUCACCACAGUGCUGAUGUGUAGAUGAAGAUCUGGGUUUUAAUUUUCUGUCAGCUUCAUCAGGGAUAAAAAAAUAUGACAUCCAAGGAUCCUCCAUGAAGAGCCACCAAGAAAGUCUUCACCUACAGAGCUUCCUUCUACACCCUCAUGGAAGGAUUCCCUGUGCUCCUAGUAGCACCCACCACUAAACUCAAGCCUACCACCAUCCAGAAAGGACUCGCCCAGUGGGACCAGCUGGAGCUCCACCCCAUCCCCCAUCCCCGGCCUAGAUCCAGCCUCUGAGCCUCCAUUUCAUUCUCAGCUCUUCUGAGGCAUUCCAGGGGUGACUGGAUGCCCAAGAGCCUGAGAACCAGAUGGCUCCGGCGUCUUUGCAGACUUGGGACCUGACCUGAGAGCCAGCUCGGGCUGUUUCCAGUACUCAGACUAUGCUUCCCCACACACCCCAGAGGGGUGUCCCACAGCUUUCCACAGCUCAACACCGGCCUGGUGACAGCAUGGAGUAGUGUGAUCAAACUUCCUGCAUCCAGCCUUCCAGAGACUAAUCCUACAGCAUCUCAGUUGUUUGAUUUUCAUUUCCCUGAUGAUUAAGCAUGUUGAACAUUUCUUUAAGUGCUUCUUGGAUAUUCAAGAUUACUCAGUUGAAAAUUUUCUGUUUAAUUUUAUAACAUUUUUUUAAAUUCGAUUAUUUGUUGUUUUGGUGUCUAACCUUUUGAUUCUUUAUAUAUAUUGGAUAUUAGCCCUUUGUCAGAUAGCGACUUGGUGAAGAUCUUUUCUCAUGUUUAGGCUACUGUUUUGUCUUCUUUAGAGUAUCUAUUGCCCUACAGAAGCUUUCAGUUUUAUGAAGUUAUGAUUAUCAACUAUCAAUGUUAGAGCCCUAGCCAUUGUUCUCUUCAAUAAAAUUUCUCCUAUGCCAA